UACGGGGGGAGCAAGCGUUUGUUCGGAUUUACUGGGCGUAAAGGGCGCGUAGGCGGCCACCGCAAGUCGACUGUGAAAUCUCCGGGCUUAACCCGGAAAGGUCAGCCGAUACUGCGGGGCUAGAGUGCAGAAGGGGCAACUGGAAUUCUCGGUGUAGCGGUGAAAUGCGCAGAUAUCAGGAGGAACACCGGUGGCGAAGGCGGGUCUCUGGGCCGAUACUGACGCUGAGGAGCGAAAGCGUGGGGAGCGAACAGG
rnacentral:rRNA from 1 species